UUGGAGGGCAAGUCUGGUGCCAGCAGCCGCGGUAAUUCCAGCUCCAAUAGCGUAUAUUAAAGUUGUGCAGUUAAAAAGCUCGUAGUUGAAUUUCGGGGUUCUACCGUUGGUCGGGCUUUGUCUGUACUGGUGUGUAGAAUUUCUACCUCCUGGGGAACCAUCAUGCUAUUAAUUUAGCGUGGUGGGAAACCAGGACCUUUACCUUGAAAGAAUUAGUGUGUUCAAAGCAGGCUUAUGUCUGAAUACAUUAGCGUGGAAUAAUAGAAUAGGACGGUGGUCCUGUUUUGUUGGUUUCUGAAUCACCGUAAUGAUUAAUAGGGAUAGUUGGGGGCAUUAGUAUUCAAUUGUCAGAGGUGAAAUUCUUGGAUUUAUUGAAGACUAACUAUUGCGAAAGCAUUUGCCAAGGAUGUUUUCAUUAAUCAAGAACGAAAGUUAGGGGAUCGAAGACGAUCAGAUACCGUCGUAGUCUUAACCAUAAACUAUGCCGACUAGGGAUCGGAUGACGUUAAUUUUUUAAUGACUCAUUCGGCGCCUUACGGGAAAC
rnacentral:rRNA from 1 species